GCACCUCUGGUCUAGUGGCAGAAUAUCUCCCUCCCACGGUGAAGACCCGGGUUCGAUUCCCGGGAGGUGCA
rnacentral:tRNA from 1 species